UAUCGGUAAUUAAAUAUAUCUAAGUUUGGAUUCCUUUGGAGGCUUUCUCGCUUUCGACCCAGCUGCGGCCUGCGGGAGGCGUCCCCAUUGCCGUAAAAAAGAAAGAAGAGAAAAGAAAAGGGUAGGAGAAAGAAACCGCCGCCGCCGCCGCCGCCGCCGCCAUGACUCCCGCCGAUGCCUUCCUCAUCCUCGACUUCCUCGCCGGCAACCGCCUCAUCCCCCACUCCGUCUUCACCACCCUCCUCGCCUCCCUCCCAUCCGUCUCGCCCCACACCUCUCCUCGCCUCCGCGCAGGCCUCGCUCUCCGCGCUCUCGACUCCGCCCUCUCGAUCUCGGAGUCGUCGGAGAUGGACGCCCCCACCCUCCUGCGCAAGGCGCGGGCUGUCCUCGCGGAUCCAGACCUUGCCCCCUUCUUUCCGCAGCACCUCGCUGCACCCGCCUCUGCCGACGACGCCCCGGCCGCCGCCGUGGCUCACCUCAACCGCCUUCUCGACGUUGAGUGGGCGAGCCUCCCUCCUUCCUCGCUCGAGAUCGCGGCCGAACGGAUCGUUGGCUCUCAAGCCCUCCAUUCGUGGGCAAAUGCCGACCACGCCCAACGUUCAAAGCUUCGUCUACUCGUAGGAGAGUCCACAGCGCUUGAGAUUUUAGACACGCUUCAACGGCCGGAUGCAUCCACAAAUCAUCCAGGAACGCUGCCUCAAGUUGAUAAUGCACCGGAAACAAACGGUGCUUCUCAUUGUGCUCAACAAAACGAUGGGGCCAAGAGCGGUCUUGUUAAACAAAAUGCUGAAGCCGAUCGUCCUCAACAAGAUAGCACUCGACAUCAACAAGACUCGGUGCAAGGAGCAUCCAAUUCCCAACUUAAAGAAAGUUCAGUAACAAUGGAAUCUAUUAGAGGCACGGGUCCUGAUAUCACAGGCUUUAUGGAAGAAGCUACACCUCGUGUUGCUGGACAGUUUGCCCCUGACAACAUCAAGAACCAUCAAGUCACAGGUUCUAAGCGCAGUUUAAUGGAGAGGAAUCCGACUGCCAGCACUUAUGAGUGGGAUGGCAGCGAUUCCGAAGGGAAAAGGCCUGCAGCAAAGCGCCGGUUACCCAUUUUUGAAAGGACAGCAAAACCUUCUCCUACAGCUGCACAUAAGACGAGAAAAAAGUGGAGCGAGAAACAAGAAAAAACCUUGCUGGAAGGGGUGGAGAAUCGGAUGUGCUUUGAGACGUGUGCAGGUGUGAUGGGGUAAAAAACAACUUUGGGUUGAUCGCACGCAACCCACUGAGCUACCCACCUUUUGUGACUUACACAUCACUUGCACCCUGGUUAUAUUGUAAUUACAUGCUAAUUACAUACAUUUGACAGAUUUUUUUUUGGGGUCUGUCGAAUGUGGAAGUUCCUUCUUGGUUUGGUUGCUCUAUGAUGGUAUUGAUCCAUUGAGUAUGAUGAGUUUUCAUUGUUAACAUAGGUAUGGAAAAGGCAACUGGAAAGAUAUCAAAAUGGCAUACCCUGAUGUAUUUGAAGAUAGAUCGACAGUAGAUUUGAAGGAUAAAUUCAGAAAUUUGGAAAGGCAUCUAUGCGCUUGAGGCGUGCCUACUUUAGGAGGAAUUGUUAUGGUAUAUAUAUAGCGACUUGAAGUUAGCUAUGCCAAAGCAGACGCAUUCUGUAGUCCUGGAUGGAUGAUGGUAGCUAUGUUUAUAGUGCCUUUUUUGGUUGUGAUUUUGUGAAGUGUAGCCAGCUAGUUUUAUUUGGUCGGCUAUCCUUGUUUUGUUUUGUACAGGAUAGAGGAGCGAUAUCGGUGGGGAACUUCCUGCUCUGAACGCUUAUUUUCUAUCUUCUAUCUUCAUGGCUAUCCUUGUUUUGUUUUGUACAGGAUAGAGGAGCGAUGUCGGUGGGAACUUCCUGCUCUGAACGCUUAUUUUCUAUCUUCUAUCUUCAUGUGUCUGUAUUGUUGUUUGUCCUUGCUACAA